rnacentral:lncRNA from 1 species
GGGGGAUCAACUGGCCAAACCUGCCCCAAAAAAGGUGCUGGGGAUAUAGCUUAAUGGUAGAGUGUCCUGUGUUCAAACCCCAGUAGUAGAAAAAGAAAAAAGAUUAAGUAGGAAAAGCUGAUUAUUUAAAAAAAGAAGAAUUGAGAAUGAAUUAACUGUUCUGUAGAGAGAGGACUGAUCCUUGUAGCAGGAGUAAGGGUUUUGUCAGUGGGCUGAAAGUGUAGCUCAGAGGUAGAGCAUCUGCUUACCAUAGAGUGAGUACUUUAGUUCCUUUCUCAGCCAUGUUAAAUAGCAAAAAAGAGGCCGGGUGCAGUGGUGCAUGCUUUUAAUCCCAGUGGCUUGGCAGGCUAAGGCAGGAGGAUUGGGAGUUCAAAGCCA